AAUCCCACUGAAACUUACUGCCGCGGGGAGAGAGAAGAGACAGAGCCAUGGUUAGCAUUCUGUGAAGUCUUUAAGAGAGACAGAAAUAUGCUCCUUUUACAUAUUAGAUGCUGGGAUAAGCUAAUUGCCGAAUCCAUCAACGUCGGUCUGCGACUGUUGUGAUGAGCUCCAACCGAAUCUACAGCCUGGUUUAGAGCUCUGCAACAACUUAAAUCCUACUAAAGGCCUUGCAAAAAAACGGGGUCUCUCCUAUCCUUAGGAGGUACAGAUGGCCAGCGUCAGGAAAGCAGUGUUACCCAAAGGAAGAAGUCAAGGCAAAUGAUCGCAUUUCACAGGUCUCCUGGCACCUACAAGACACCGAAGCCUGGCCUUUCAACAGAUGGGGAGGCAGAGGCAGACAUGGUGCAGGGCCCAACCAGCAAGAGGAUGAAGUAUCUUUACAGCACAACUGGCUAAGAGGAAAAAAGUCUACAUUUAAAACAAAAUGAAACAAAAUAACAAUCUCCUCACCCCACCUCUACCUUGCAGAAUUGUUCUGACAAAAAUGACCCACAGAAUUUAAAAGAAAAGUGAUGUUAUUGAAAUUACCACCAUAUGAGUUGCACUCUUUGGGACAUAUGUUUGCUCAGAUGUAGUCAACUUCAUUGUUCAGCCACUGUGGAAACAAGGUAUGUUGGACUGAAUGUUUGUUUGUGUUCCCCUGAAGUUCAUAUGUUGAAGCCCUAACCCCCAAUGUGAUGCUAUAUGGAGGUGGGGACUUUAGGAGGUAAUUAUAUUUAGAUGAGAUCGUGAAGGUGGGGCUCCAUGAUGGGACUAGUGUCCUUAUAGGAAGACAAAGAGACCAGAGUUCUCUCUCUGCCAAAUGAGGACACAGUAAGAAGAUAGCUGUCUGCAAGCCACGAAGAGGUCCUUCAUCAGAAUCCGACCAGUCUGGCACCAGGGUCUCACACGUGCAGGCUCCAGACCUGAGAGAAAUAGAUUUCUUGCUGUUUAAGCCACCUAGUUGAUGACACUUUGUUAUGGCAGCCCGAGCUGACUAAAACAUAAGGUACUGAGGGUAAGAAAGCACAGUGUGGGCUCAUGGAAACCUAACAUGUUGAGCAUUGUGCUACAAUUCCAAGGACUCAUGGAACGUCCAGCGACCUCAGGAGCAGAUGCAUAUUUCUCAACCAGACACAUGAAGAAUAUGGGUUCUAGGGGCUUCCCUGUUGGCACAGUGGUUAUGCCUGCCAAUGCAGGGGACAUGAGUUCGAGCCCUGGUCCAGGAAGAUCCCACAUGCCUCGGAGCAACUAAGCCCGUGUGCCACAACUACUGAGCCUGUGCUCUAGAGCCCGCGAGCCACAACUACUGAGCCUACGCGCCACAAUUACUGAAGCCCACACGCCUAGAGCCCGUGCUCCCGGGCUCCACAACGAGAAGCCACCACGAUGAGAAGCCCGCACACCACAACAAAGAGUAGCGCUUGCUUGCCGCAACUAGAGAAAGCCCGCACACAGCAACAAAGACCCAAUGCAGCCAAAAAUAAAUUUAUUUAAAAAAAAAAAAAGAAUAUGGGUUCUAGAUUGGACCGCCAGAGUUCAAUCCUGCCUCUUCCACUGUCUGUCUAGAUCUGCAAAUGGAGUAAGUAAGUUAAUUUUUCUGAUUCUCAAUUUCCUUAAUGUUAACUUUUAUUAUUAUUGUUUUUGUGAAUCAGUUUUUAUUUAUAUCUGCUUUUCUUUAUAUUUUUAGUCUCCUU